rnacentral:miRNA from 1 species
UCACACCACACACUCACUCACC